rnacentral:misc_RNA from 1 species
CCGAGUUUACAACUCCCAAACCCCUGUGAACAUACCUAACGUUGCCUCGGCGGGAAAGCCCCGGGCGCUGGCGCAAGCCUCGCACCGGUACCAGGCGCCCGCCGGAGGACCCAAACCAAACUCUUGUAUUCUAAAGAAUCUUCUGAGUAACCAUAAGCAAUAAAUUA